rnacentral:rRNA from 1 species
AUUGAACGCUGGCGGCAGGCCUAACACAUGCAAGUCGAACGGUAACAGGAAGAAGCUUGCUUCUUUGCUGACGAGUGGCGGACGGGUGAGUAAUGUCUGGGAAACUGCCUGAUGGAGGGGGAUAACUACUGGAAACGGUAGCUAAUACCGCAUAACGUCGCAAGACCAAAGAGGGGGACCUUCGGGCCUCUUGCCAUCGGAUGUGCCCAGAUGGGAUUAGCUAGUAGGUGGGGUAACGGCUCACCUAGGCGACGAUCCCUAGCUGGUCUGAGAGGAUGACCAGCCACACUGGAACUGAGACACGGUCCAGACUCCUACGGGAGGCAGCAGUGGGGAAUAUUGCACAAUGGGCGCAAGCCUGAUGCAGCCAUGCCGCGUGUAUGAAGAAGGCCUUCGGGUUGUAAAGUACUUUAAGCGGGGAGGAAGGGAGUAAAGUUAAUACCUUUACUCAUUGACGUUACCCGCAGAAGAAGCACCGGCUAACUCCGUG